rnacentral:lncRNA from 1 species
CUCUGCGAGCGUUAUUUCAAAAGAAGUUGAGAACCAGAGAAACCGACCUAAGGGGAUUCUCCCAUUUGGCCCGUCCUACCCUAAAGUCACCACCUGCUGCUUUUCUGGAGCGCUUACCAGCCUCAUAGGAACUUCUCCCUUUCUUCUCAAGUGACCAAGAGGAACAGAACACAGAGCAGCCUGGCAGUGUCCAAGCAACAAGCCUCCGCUCCUCCUUCCUGCACCCUGGGGCUCCUGAAACUCACAUGGGUAAAAAAGAUACAGUAAAGACAUAAAUACCACAUUUGACAAAUGGAAAAAAAGGAGUGUCCAGAAAAGAGUAGCAGCAGUGAGGAAGAGCUGCCGAGACGGGUAUACAGGGAGCUACCCUGUGUUUCUGAGACCCUUUGUGACAUCUCACAUUUUUUCCAAGAAGAUGAUGAGACAGAGGCAGAGCCAUUAUUGUUCCGUGCUGUUCCUGAGUGUCAACUAUCUGGGGGGGACAUUCCCAGGAGACAUUUGCUCAGAAGAGAAUCAAAUAGUUUCCUCUUAUGCUUCUAAAGUCUGUUUUGAGAUCGAAGAAGAUUAUAAAAA